rnacentral:rRNA from 1 species
UACAGAGGGUGCAAGCGUUAAUCGGAUUUAUUGGGCGUAAAGAGCUCGUAGGUGGCGUGUCGCGUCUGCCGUGAAAGCCCAUGGCUUAACUGUGGGUCUGCGGUGGAUACGGGCAGGCUAGAGGCUGGUAGGGGCAAGCGGAAUUCCUGGUGUAGCGGUGAAAUGCGCAGAUAUCAGGAGGAACACCGGUGGCGAAGGCGGCUUGCUGGGCCAGUUCUGACGCUGAGGAGCGAAAGCGUGGGGAGCGAACAGG